CUGGAUGUUGAUCGGAACCUCAUUAGCGACCUCGAUGCUCGCCAGAAAACUCAGACUAAAUCAGAAAACAGACCCAACGAACUCCAUGACACUAGCUCCUGAUUUGGAGUUGUUUCUCGGCCGAUGGAAGUGAAGAGAUUGGUUGCUGCUGUGUGCGUUCAAAAGUGAAGAAGCAGCAGUGGCUCCAAUGGUUUCCUGGGGGUGUGGGUGGUCGUGAGUGAGUGUUUUCCAGUGAGCUAUGGUAAAGAGAAGGAAGAGUAGUGAUGGGUGUUGAUGGGUGUCUAGGGUUCUGGUUCGUUGUUAAUGGGAAGAAGCAGAAACUGCGAUGGCUAUGGUGUUCGCAACUCUCUGUCCAGCAGCGACUCUGUGUGUGUGUCGGCGACUGAGGGUUAGCAGUUGUUGAAGAAGAAGAGAACGAGUGGGUCGUUUUUGUGUUGCGGUUGAUUUCCAGCCCUUAGGUCCUAAGGGUUUUUCUAUGUUUUUUCAUGAAGAAGAAGAAGAAAGCUGAUGGGGUUUUCAGCAUGUAAAAAAACAGCGCUCACUCUAGGGUCUUAGAGUCUAGGGUCUUGUUUGUUUUACAAGGUUUUUUAGGUUAGGGGGUGUGGGCCUAGGAAUUAUGGGCUUGGGAAUUAUGGGCUAGGUCUGAAAAUUAGGCUUAAAAAUGGGUUGUUUGAACCCAAAUUUUAUUCUUUCUCCGCGAACGAGGCUAAAAAUACGACCUUAUUUACCAAUUAAUCCUACUUAAGUAAAAUAAUUAUUAAAAUAAGACUAACCGUUAAAACAAACCUAUUUUUUUGGUAUUUUCAAAUAUCAUAUUAAAAUAAAAAUAAGGUAAUAUUUUUUGUAUUUUUUUAGUUUUACGAAAAGUUAUAAACUAAAAGCAACUAAAAAAGAAGAAAUAUUUUUGUAAUUUUCAUUUUUUGAUAAAAUAAAGUAAAAGAGUCAAAACUAAUUGAAAUAGCGAUAUUAGGCUUAAACCAAACAUUUACAUGCUAAAAUGUGAAAAAUCUUGGGGAGGGUCAAAAAUCACAUGUCUACAGCUGUCCCUCUUUGACUGAAAAUACGAAGUAUCUUCAGACAAAGAACGACUAGACAGGUUUUUUUACCAGACCCUUAUUUAGGGAGAUCAAAAACUAAGAGAAAGGAGAAAUGUGACCGAGCCCUGGUAUCUGAGCUGCCUACAAUCCUUGGCUAUAAAGGAAUCAGGCCUCGUGUAGUUCAGAAGUGAGUGAUAUGAUGGAGUAUACCGAGGUGGAGAGCCGGUCGAGGUGCCAUUCUGUCGAGGUUCCAGUCCGCGGUCCUGUUAUUACAUCAAAAAUCAAAAAAUAAAAAAGACUAGCUAAGCCUGUCAAAUAUGAGUUACAAGAUUCCUAUCUAUAAGUCUUCUGAAGCUUGAUCUUGAGUCUUGAAUAGCCUUCAUGCAGACUCUAGAUUUGAACCUUGGUGCUUGUUAGCUGCAGGUGCUAGCUCGCUCUCCUUCAGCUUUUCGGAUCAAUAUCGGACAUGUGGUGCUUGUGACUUCAACCACGUCUUGAGCAGUUCACAUCUUUCUCUGCUUCUGUAUUUUGGAUUCAUUUCUCUUUUUUCUUUUUUUUUCUUUUUUUUUUAUUCUGGAUUGAGAUUACUUUUGUUGAUCAUCUCGGAUUGUUGACUUGCAUUUUUGCCGCGAGCUUAUGCUACUUCUAACUGUCUUCCUUCGCGAAACUUGGACUGCCUUCCCUUAUUCUCCAGGUGGGUGCCUGAUUGCUGAAAUUCGAACUACUUUCCUUAAAAUAUAAGCUGUUUUCCUUUGUUCUCCAGGUAGGAGCCUGAUUGCUGAACUUGAACUGUCUUCCUUCAAAACUUGAGCUGUUUUCCCUUGUUCUCUAGGUGGGCGCCGGACUGCUGAAACUCGAAUUGCUUUUCCCUGAAACUUGAACUGCUUUCCCUUGUUAUUCCUGGUGGGCGCCUGAUUGCUGAACUUGAACAUGUCUUCCUUCGAAACUUGAGUUGCUUUCCCUUGUUCUCCAAGUGGACGCCUAAUUGCUGAACUUGAAUCGCUUUCCUUUGAAACUGCUUUUCCUUGAAACUUGAAAUGUCUCCCCUUGUUCUCCAGGUGAGCGCCUGAUUGCUGAACUUGACAUGUCUUUCCCUGAAACUUGAACUGCUUUCUCUUGUUCUCCAGGUGGGCGCCUGAUUGUUGAACUCGAACUGCUUUCCUUUCCCCUGAAACUUGAAUUGCUUUCCCUUGUUUUCUAGGUGGGCGCCUGAUUGUUGAACAAAGUAAAACUCUCAUUAGACCUUGUCACUUGUGAGGGCCUCAAAACUUACUAAAUCCUAUUAUCCAAGAGGGUACUAGAAACUUACUGUCGAGCUUGUCUGGCACUUGCUUUCCUCCCGGAAGGUUUCUCUGGAACAAACAAAAUUUCCUUCCCAUGUUUCAAUCAAAGAAAACUUGUGAGUUUAAACAUGGUGGUUGGUUUGCGUCCUUGACUUUGAGGGCGAUUGCUCCUUCACUUCCCAUGAUAACUUCGAUUUCCGCUUGGAAGACCUUGCUUGUCAUUGGUUAGCCACUUUCUCUAUCACCCUUAUCACAGAAAAUACCUCUGAUCCGUUCAAACCCAAUACCAUUCAUCUGUUGCAUUGUGCUCAUACAUUGCCAUAUACUGAACCUUUGUGUUUCACAUUAAUCCCAAAGCACGUCAAUUGCCACCCACUCAGUGCGCAUGCUGUUCUUUCCUGACUUAACCCACUGGUCUUGGCCUUGAGGUUAUUGCUCCUUCACAUGCCAUGAUAACUUUGAUUUCCGCUUGGAAGACCUUGCUUGUCAUUGGUUAACCACUUUCUCUAUCAACCUUAUCACAGAAAAUACCUUUGACCCGUUCACCCAACAUCCUCUAUCUGUUGCAUUAUUCAUGAAUUGACAUAUACCAAACCUUUGUAUUUUACAUGAAUCCCAAAACACGUUGAUUGUUACCAACUCAGCGCGCUUGCCGUUCUUUCCUGACUUAUGCCAUUUUGAUGUGCUAGCCAAAUUCUAUUUUGCGCAAUUGGAAAGUUGGUAGUAAAUUUUGAAAUCAUUUCUUACUUGUUCUGACCAAACAGACUCAGGAAGAGGAAGUAAACAAGGCAAAAGGAACAGAGUAAAAGACAAUGAAAAAAGAUGAUUUCUAACAAGAAAACUACAAAGUAGAAAUUUAUCAGGUAUGGAUACAACUCUAAUGACCAUGACAUGUAACUUUGGAUUAAGUGGCAUAAUCUGUCAAGCAAGUCUAAUGUUCAACUAUUGUUGUACCUCUGAGUCGUGAAAUCGGGCUUCCAUGCUCCGAUUAUCCUAUCUGAUUCACGAUCCUUAUUCGACUUGUAGUGCCCGAAGGGUUUACACCAUCAAGCCUUUCUCAUUUUUUUCUUUUUCUCAACUCACCAUCGUCUUAUGGUGCCUGUGAAGGUUUUGACCACUAAGACUAUCUCAUUUUGUUCUUUUCUUCUUAUUUCCUCUUAUUCUGCAGAUGACAAGGCAUUACCUAUGGUAAAAACAUCAUAUACUCUUGGCAUGUCUAAACUCAGCACUCUCAAAGAUUAUCUGAGAGGUCUUUUUUGGACUGGUAUGUGGCUUUUGGACAGGGUUAGAAAGAAUGGAUAAAGGCUCAAAAUAAUUAAGACAACGGGGUUAAUUCAUUUAUAACUUUUGGAAUCCAUUUUAGAACUUUGCCCCGAUUUCUAAAACAAGGGAAUUUGAUUCUUUUUUUUCUUUUUCUUUUGAUGGAGUUACUAAGAAAGACUGCCCCACUUUCGAUUUUGUAGGAUUAUGAAAUAUUUUAUUUGGUAUGACCGAACCGUAAGGCUGCCUACGUAUCUUGUGGUGACAAGAAUCAGGUCAAACGUAGUUCACAUGACUACCUUUGUUACUAUUUUCCUUUUUCUUUUUUCUUUCUUUUUUCUUCUCUUUUUUUCUUUUCCUUUUUUUAUCUUUAUUUUUCUCUUCGUCUUUUCUUGAAUUUUCCUUUUGGAAUGAACCUUUUAAAAUAAACCUAUGGGGACAUAAACCUUUUUUUUUCGUAUGACUCUGACUUGAUUCCAAAAGAAGGCAGGUCAAAGAAAUUAGUACAGAAUCAAAAGGGUAUCAAAUGGUAUAAGUGUUUGGUAGCUGAAAGAGGGCCUCCCAAUCCCUGAAAAUGCCAAGUACAACACAUGCAACUUGAAAUGAAAAAGGAAGAGCACAUACAAUAUUUCUUUUACAGCUUCGAUAUUGAUAUCACUGAUAUGCUUUUCACUUUUUUAGUGUCUUGCAAGUACAGAACCCUCAUUGGGUGAUUCCUUUUUCACAAUGGAUAUUCUCCAUCAAUUCUAGGGGUGUUCAAAACCAUUCCGAAACUUAAAACUGAACCGAACGGAAACUUAAUUGCUUACUGGUAACGGCUUAACGGACGAAGAACGAAUUAAAUUUUUUUUAUUAAUGGCUUAUCAGUUUGGGGGCAAAUUAUUCAAUUUUCUGAAUAGAUAAUCCGUUAACCCGUUAAGAAUAUAAAUAAUUAAAUAUAUAUAUAAUUUAUUUUUAUUCAUAUAGAUUAAAUAUAAAAAAACAAGAACCCUUGAACUUGAAUAAUAUAAAACAAACUCGUCUCUGUCUCUAUAGUCUAUUCUCUAAGUUGAAAAUUUUUAGUGUGCUAUAAUAUAUUAAUAUAUAACAAACAAUCGAGCAGGCUAAUAAGAACUACCAUGCUCAGGACUAUAUGAAGUACCAAAACCUUCUCGUGCGUACUUUCUGACUCGUCUGAUGAAUCCACAGGUGUUCUGCUACCGCUUGCUCCAGACGCUGAGGCAUUGGCCUCAACCUUCACAAAUAAAGUUGAAACAGGAUCGUCAAAUCCACCAAAUUCCAUGCUCCUGAGUAACCAACAGUAAGCCUUCUCCUCAUUAAGGCCAUAAAUAGAAGCAACACAAUCACAGUUUGAUAAGCAAGCAUCACCACAUUUGGACACAGUCCCUUUAUCACUAUAAUUACCUAUGACAGAUGAUUCUGAGAAAUAAUAAUUUGUUUUCUGAACAGUAGAAAUCUUGAACUGAGACAUCAAGUUUUCAUGCCGAGGUCCACAUUUCCCUGUCACUGAAGAAUUUCCUGAACAUGAGACAUCAUUGCCCACCUUAGAAGUCCCUGGCAAACAUGUGCAAGAAGCAUUCAUCUUGCUUCUGUCUAAAUUACAUAUCCCAUUGCCACAAAUUCCAGAAAUAUACUGUUGGUACAAUUACCUAGAAGGAACUAUUAUUUUGAAGUAAGUUGCUUUGAAGUGAACCAAAAGAUGAAAAUCGCUGGAUAAACAUUUGAGAUUUGAAUGACUUCAGUACGGCAGUACCUAGUUGAGAAUAAUUUCGAUUUGUGAAUAUGUAUGCUAGGCCAAUAAACCGCCCGAUAACUGCCCGAUAAGAGCUAAACCGAUACCAAUCCUCCCGAUAUCUUAUCGGGUGGAUAACAAAUUAAUAUAUUUAAAAGCCGAUAACUGUCAAGCCAAACCGUUAAGAGUAAAUAACCGCCCAAUGCGGCCGAUAAGCAGCCCUAGUCAAUUCGGAGAAAACUUUCUUGACUUUAUCUUGUAACUUGAGAUGCAUUUGAACUCAAAGUUGCUUGUUUCAAAUCGUCCGGGAUGCACUCUCUUGUAACCAAUUCUUGUCACCCUAUUAUCUUCCCAAAUUAUCUCCCCCAGUUUCACAUAGUUUGGGCUUCAAAUGAUCUCAAAAUGUCCAAAUCUGUCCUUAUUUCCCUCAAAUAUCCCUAUCAUCUUCAAAAUUGUUCCAUUGAUUCGUGAUUAAACUAACUUUUAAGACCAGACCUAGAAUUAUGCGUGCAUGUCAUGUCACUAGAGCCAGCAGAAAAGAACUAUAAAAGGAAAAGAGAACUAAACAAAAUGACUAGAAAUAACAGAAAAUAGAAAAUUGCAUUAGACAAACUGUGAAAGGGUUUGAACAACAAGACAAGCAAACUAAACUGGGGUACAACCCUGGAACAAACCUAGACAAUUCUAAAUGAGUUACUAUGACUAAACAAACUAGGCAAAAUAAAAGGAUAGAAGGGUUUGAGUCACAAGACAAUAUCCGUGUUACAACCCUGAGAUAACCCGGACAACAGAAAUGACAACAAAAUAAACUACCAAGACUCCUUCCCGGCUAGCAACAAAAGGAGCAUCUUUCCAAUCAUCAAGCUCAACAUCUUAGCCACUGAGUUCCGCAUCAACAGUACUAGAACCUUCACAAGUCUCCAUUACAUUGACUUUAGCAAAUUGUGUUUGAGUUCCAUUUGCCGGCUCGUUCUUAAGAUCAACCUCUAAUAGCGCUGAAAGCUUUGCAGCACGUGGACCUCUAAGGAUCUCAGAAGAAUUCUCAUAUUCCUUUUCAAAACAAAUCAUACCCACCAUAUGCAUCUCAUUAUGAACAGGCGAUGAACUUUGGCUAGUGUCUACUGCAUCUGGAUUUUGCACGACAAUGUCACCUGCAUUAAUGAGCUUCUGAAUUGCUCUUUUCAUAUGCCAACACUUUUCUGUGCUGUGACCCUAGGCAUCCGAGCAAUGUGCGCACCUUUAAGAAUAAUAAAAAUUCUUUGGAAGAGGAUUCAACAUUUUUAUCUGAAUCAGCUUCAACAUGUCCAAUUGCCUCAACCUUUGGAACAAACUGGCAUAUGAUUCUCCAAUGGGAGUGAAAGUCUUUUCCUUUUGCUUUUGCCUUUUCAUCUUGUACUCUGGCCUCAGUUGGAACCUUUUGCAGGUAGGUGGUUGAUAUGCUUGAGGGGGCGGGUAAGACAUUUAUUGAAGUGGUGUGGGCCAUCGCGGGCCUUGUGGAUGUGGAUCAUAUGGUGGUGCAUUGUGGAUGGAGUAUUGGGAAAGUAAUGUACGACUUUGGGGGUUUUGUGGAGAUAAGUAGAAUUGAGGAGGAUUAUCUGGUGUACAGGGAUAUCCAUGGGGUCGAUAUCGAGGCUGAAAGCGUUGAGCAGGAAUGCCCACCGGAUCCUAUUGUUGGCGCGGCUCAACAACAUCUUUUCUAUUUCUCUUUCCUUCACCCAAACUUACUGAGAUGUUUUGAAUAUCUUCUGUAGUAUCUUUUAAUGCCGAAUAACUCAUGAUUUUGCCUGACUUGAUUCCCUCUUCUACCAUCUCCCCCAUUUUUACCACAUCAUUGAAAGGUUUGCCCAAGGUCGGGAUCAAAUGACUGAAGUAGGUGGGCCCCUAGGCUUGUAGGAAAAGCUCAACCAUUUCUUCUUAACCAAUCGGGGGACUGACUCGACAGCCUGUUCCCUCCAUCUGAGCCCAAACUCCCUAAAGCUUUCCUCCGGUUUCUUUUCCAUCUUGGAUAGGGAGGAGCGGUCUUAGAUAAUGUCUAGAUUGUAUUGAAAAUGUCGAACAAAAUAUUGAGCCAUGUCAUCCUAUGUAUGCCACUUAUUGAGAUCUUGACGAGUAUACCAUUGCAAGGCUGCCCCAGUCAAGCCCUCGCUGAAAUAUGUCAUCAACAAAUCCUCUUUCCCCCAACACUUCUCAUUUCACUGCAAUAACCCCUCAGAUGGCUAUUGGAUCUCCACGCCCAUCAUACAAGUUAAACUUUGGCAUUUUAAACCCUGUGGGCAGAUGAACAUCAGGGAACAUGCACAAGUCAUUAUAAGACAUGUUAAUUUGANNNNNNNNNNNNNNNNGUGAAAAUAAAAAGAAAACAUUUUUUUUGUUUUUUUUUUAUAUAUUUCCCAGUGGAGAACCUUAAGAGAAAAUCUUUUUGGAUUUUUGGAAUUAAUAUCUUAAAGAGAACUUUUAAAGAGGUACUAAAAGAAACUUCUCUUCUUUUUUUUAGUCUUAAUAUACUAAAAGGAAGCAUAAAAGCAAUUUUUUAUUAAGUUCUAGAUAUUAACUUCCUAAGGAAAACCACCUCAAAUAAAUUCUUCUUUUUUCCAUUUCUAGAAUUAGUAUUUUAAAGAAAACUUCUAACGGAAAUAUAAAACGCAAAAUCUCUCCUUUUUUUUUUUUGGAUUUUUGAGUUAUAACACACUUUUUCAAAUACAAAAUAGAAAGUACAAUAACAAAAAACUCGACAUUACUGUAUAAAACUAGAAGGUAAAAGAAGGCAUAAAAAGAAAAACAGACUCAAAACAUAAAAAAUAAAAAAAAUCUCUUUAAGCAACUCCUGAAUGAGCGAUCAUGUCUGGCUGGUCUCAGGGUGUCUGUCAUGCUCAAACCCUGGUAAGUAAAUCCACACCUGUAUGAGAAAAUUAAGACCAAAUAAAGUUAAAGACCUAGAACGCUAUGUAAGACAAUAACCCUUCCUGUUGGACACAUGCAAGACGCGAUUGUGACUAUUUUUUCUAAAAUUAACCUGUGUGGCUAAGAGUGGCUAAAAAUGCAAGAUUUGGCUAAUACCCCUCGAAGCCAAGAACCUAAAACUUACUAGGAAAAUCGGACCCUAUGUAGGUUGCCUACGUAUCACGUCAAAACGAGAAUCAGGUAUGCGUAGUUCGGGCAGAUUGGAUAUGGGCGAAAAAUAUAGAAGAAAACAACUAAUUUAAAGAAAAUAUAUUUUUUGGUCUUUUUUUUAAAAAAAUGAUGGAACAUGUAAACUCUUUUUGGAUUUUCUUUUCCCUUUUUUUUUGAUUUUUUGAUUUUCAAAAAAUGAUGAAAAAAUGCAAAAUCUUUUUUUCGAAUUUUUCAUGUUUUUUUCUUAACAAAAAUGUGACAGAAAACAUAAUCGGGCCCUACUUGCUUUAUUUUUCACACUUUACCCUCUCUUUUUUUUUCUCUUUUUUUUUCUUUUUCAUUUGCCCUCAGCUAUUAUUGGUCUGCCAAAUGACCCUUUUACCCUUGAUGAAAUGCAACAUAUAGCACAUAGGAUGCAUCAAGAUGGUCUAUUAUUUUGGGUACACCUGUCUUAAAUCGACCCAACCCCUGUGUUGAGUCCCUAAAGGCAAAUGCACGUGACGCAAACAAACGUUCCUACUAGGGAUCCGGCAUGAGGUUAUGUUUUCUAGGUUUAAAUCUUGGGGUUGUGUUCUAGACCUGGCUUAUACGAGCGGACAACUCGAGCCGAAGAGGGGGAAACGUACCGGGAGCACUGAAGUCUACCCGACGUUGUUGCUGGCCUAGCCCCAUUCUUAUUUGGUAUAACUUCUACAGAAAAAGCGGGCCACACGAACGUGUGCACCAUUUUCAGAAGACUCAGAGGGGUGGCAUAAGAAGACAAUUAUAUACAAUUCAAACAAUAUUAAAGCGGUAAACAGAUAGAAUUUAGCAUAAAAGGUUCACAGAAUACAGUAAUAUUAAUAAUAAAUGAAGCCAAGUAAAAAUCAUAUUAAUAAGCUCAAAUUCUGAACCCUGAACCAGAAGUUCUGGGUUCUUAUCCCCAAUAGAGUCGCCAGAGCUGUCACACCUCCUUUUUCCUACCCCAGGAAGGGUAUAAGGGAGUUUUUCCAAUUUAAGUAACAAUCGAAACGAGAUUAAUUAUUUAAAAUCAGAGUCGUCACUUAGGAUAAUUUAUGGUGUCCCAAGUCACCGGUUUAAAAUCCCGAAUCGAGGAAAUUGACUCUGUUUAUGUAUGUGAACACAGAAAUCAGGGUAAGGAAUUAUGUUAACCAGGGAAAAGGUGUUAGACAUUUUCGAGUUUCGUGGUUCUAGCACAGUCGCUUUGAUCAUAUUUGGCUUAAUCAAAUUGUCUAAUUACUCAUUUUAGAACCUAUGUUCAUUUGCCUCUUUUACCUAAGGAAUUAUCUUGAAACAGGUCACAUGCACGUGUACCCGUUUGUUUGGCGUGUCAAAAAUUAUGCCACGCGAACGUGUCCACAAUUAAUAAUGCUUUAUUAUUAUAAGAAAGUUUGGCUGAAGUUGCGCGAACGCAUACUCUAGUUUUGUUUUUAGAAUCGUAAUUACAUCACGCGAAUGUGUACGUAAUCACAAUGGUAUUUUAGACGUGCCUAAAAGCAAACUACGAACAUCAUUUUAAAUAUCUAAGUCACAAAAUUAAUACGAGGGCCAUAGGGAUUCAGUUAUGAAUGGCACACCUCGACCUAGAGAACUACAUUUAAUUUAGCAUCCUAUUAACAAUAAUUAUAUUAUUAAGAAAGUUCGAUCGAAGUUGCACGAACACAUACUCCGAAUUGAUUUUUAGAAUCGUAAUCAUGUCACACGAACGUGUACACAAUCACAAUUGUAUUUUAAACGCGCCUAAAGGCUUUUCUAAUAAUGUUUAUUAUUUGUUCAACUCCUAAGUUUGAGAUAUUGUAAAUGGAUUAAAGCACGAUGACACAACAGACCUUUACAAUCACAUGCCUUGAUUUUGACUAGGUAAAAAUAGCCAUUAUCAUGUUAAAGGGGAAACCAACUCGACUGAACUUAACAAUGGACAUGAAAUGCCUUUAUAUACCUAGUUCAUUAAAUUUGGUUAAUAACAACCUAACCUAUAGUGUCCAAGAUCAUUUACUAAUUACACAUUCCAUGGUAGUAGAAUCACAAACAAGAUUUCUUCAAAAUGAAAAUAACUGAAGCAUUGGUAUUAAGCCUAGUGUUCAAAGAAGUCAAUCGCUCCAAUAUUUUAACUUAGAACCAAACAACCAUGAACCAAAAUUUAUAUAAGUGACUCAUAUUUACUGGAAAAAAAUCGGGAAAAACUAUAUUCUAGGUAUUCAAAAUACAGUGCAAAUGAAACAAAGGAUUCAAAGCAAGGAAAGCAUCAAAGAUGCUAAAUAACGAGAGCAAACGAAGCAUUCAAUUUAAACAAACCAACUAGAACAAAUAUAACAUUGCAUUUGGGAUAUGUAGAUGAAGAACAGACCUUUAUUGCUGAAUAUUUAAGUUAUGAGAUUUGUUCGAAUCAAAGGAUCUCAGAUCGGACAACUGGACGUUGAUCGGAACCUCAUCGGUGACCUCGAUGCUCAAGGGAAAACUCAGACUAAAUCAGAAAAUAGACCCAACAAACUCCAUGACAGUAGCUCCUAAUUUGGAGUUGUUUCUCGGUUGAUGGAAGUGAAGAGAUCGGUUGUUGCUGUGUGCGUUCAAAAGUGAAGAAGCAGCAGCGACUCCAAUGGUUUCCUGGGGCG
rnacentral:lncRNA from 1 species